CGCCGACCUGGCCGGGCCCGCCGCGGCCGACGCCGCCGACACCGGCGCGGCGGAGCCGGAACCGCCGGAGCUGCCGCUGUUCGCCCUGGUGACCGUCGCC
rnacentral:tRNA from 1 species